GACGAACGCUGGCGGCGUGCUUAACACAUGCAAGUCGAACGGAAAGGCCUCUUUCGGGGGGUACUCGAGUGGCGAACGGGUGAGUAACACGUGAGUAACCUGCCCUUGACUAUGGGAUAACUUCAGGAAACUGGGGCUAAUACCGGAUAGGAGCUCCUGCUGCAUGGUGGGGGUUGGAAAGUUUCGGCGGUUGGGGAUGGACUCGCGGCUUAUCAGCUUGUUGGUGGGGUAGUGGCUUACCAAGGCUUUGACGGGUAGCCGGCCUGAGAGGGUGACCGGCCACAUUGGGACUGAGAUACGGCCCAGACUCCUACGGGAGGCAGCAGUGGGGAAUAUUGCACAAUGGGUGGAAGCCUGAUGCAGCAACGCCGUGUGCGGGAUGACGGCCUUCGGGUUGUAAACCGCUUUCGCUCAUGACGAAGCUUUGUGUGACGGUAGUGGGUAAAGAAGCACCGGCUAACUACGUG
rnacentral:rRNA from 1 species